CCUACGGGAGGCAGCAGUAAGGAAUAUUGGGCAAUGGACGCAAGUCUGACCCAGCCAUGCCGCGUGCAGGAUGAAGGCCCUUUGGGUUGUAAACUGCUUUUAUCUGGGAAGAAAUCCACUGUUUCUACGGUGGUUGACGGUACCAGAGGAAUAAGCACCGGCUAACUCCGUGCCAGCAGCCGCGGUAAUACGGAGGGUGCAAGCGUUAUCCGGAUUCACUGGGUUUAAAGGGUGCGUAGGCGGGUUUUUAAGUCAGCGGUGAAAGCUCCGAGCUUAACUCGGAAAUUGCCGUUGAUACUAUUAAUCUUGAAUUUAGUUGAGGUGGGCGGAAUGUGUAGUGUAGCGGUGAAAUGCUUAGAUAUUACACAGAACACCUAUUGCGAAGGCAGCUCGCUAAACUAAUAUUGACGCUGAGGCACGAAAGCGUGGGGAUCAAACAGGAUUAGAAACCCUGGUAGUCCACGCCCUAAACGAUGAUUACUCGAUCCGUGCGAUACACUGUACGGGUCUAUGCAAAAGCAUUAAGUAAUCCACCUGGAAGUACGACCGCAAGGUUGAAAACUUAAAGGAAAUUAGACGG
rnacentral:rRNA from 1 species